CAGGGUACUGAUGUGGAUGAUCAGCCAUGAGUCUACUGAAAGAUGGAACUAUUCUGUAGAACUCAGUUGUGUACUGUUCCUAUUUACUGUGAUACGUUUUAAUGUAAAGAUACAUUCCUACAUCCACUCUAUGAAUAACUUCCCUUAAAGGGCAAAGGGCAACAAAGAACAAAAUGGUGAAGAGUAGUAGGAGAUGGUUGGAGUGGGUGUCGGGUGAGAAAUAAACCCAUAGAAGAAGAGACAUAUAGGGAAUUUGUGGUGAAAAUAAUUCUCUGACUCAUACCCUAUAUCUCUGCUGCAAACUCUGACUCAUACCCUAUACCUCUGCUAAAAGAACUUUUGAUGUAUUUUUCCCAUUGCCUACAUCAAGUGUACUUACUACCUCUUUAAAUGAUUUCUUCUCCAGAAUUAUAGACAAUGAGCUGGAAAGAUGUUAGUCAAGUUAAUUUCACAACAGACCGUCUUCAGCCAGCAAAAACAGAAGAAGUUCAUUCCAUUAGUUGGGCUGGAUUCAAAUCCCACGCGUAAGAGAUGCCGAACCUGAUGUAGCUCUGCAGUCAGGUUCACUACAGUCACUCCAUGGUAUUGGGCCAUUAGCCAAAGACAAUUCUUGUCUAGGAAGAACUUGUGUUUGGGACUCAAUGCUGAGACUCCAGGCAGAACACUUCCAGUCUCAACGGAGAACAGUCUUUUCAUUUCAGUCAGAAGUCUGUCUAUAACCGGAUAGCAACAGUGGUUGCGAAGGUCAUCAGAGGAUGUGACAGUACUUUAGUGAAGCUUGGUACACUCCUGACAAAAGCAACCUCCUGGGAGGAUCUUGUAUAUUGAUCCAAAG